GCGGACGGGUGCGUAACACGUAGCUACUUGCCACACAGUGGGGGAUAACCCGGGGAAACCCGGGCUAAUACCGCAUACACCCGAGAGGGGAAAGCCGAAAGGCGCUGUGGGAUAGGGCUGCGGCGUAUCAGGUAGUUGGUGGGGUAACGGCCUACCAAGCCGAUGACGCGUAGCUGGUCUGAGAGGAUGAUCAGCCGCACUGGAACUGAGACACGGUCCAGACUCCUACGGGAGGCAGCAGUGGGGAAUCUUGGGCAAUGGGGGAAACCCUGACCCAGCAACGCCGCGUGGAGGAAGACGCCCUUCGGGGUGUAAACUCCUUUUGCAGGGGAAGAGAGAGACGGUACCCUGCGAAUAAGCUCCGGCUAACUCCGUGCCAGCAGCCGCGGUAAUACGGGGGGAGCUAGCGUUACUCGGAAUCACUGGGCGUAAAGGGUGCGUAGGCGGCUUAGUAAGUUGGGAGUGAAAUCCCACGGCUCAACCGUGGAACUGCUUCCAAAACUGCUAAGCUAGAGUCCGGGAGAGGCCGAGGGAAUUCCUGGUGUAGGGGUGAAAUCCGUAGAGAUCAGGAGGAAUGCCGAAAGCGAAGGCGCUCGGCUGGAACGGAACUGACGCUGAGGCACGAAAGCGUGGGGAGCAAACAGGAUUAGAUACCCUGGUAGUCCACGCCCUAAACGAUGGGUACUAGUGGUUGGGGGG
rnacentral:rRNA from 1 species